rnacentral:lncRNA from 1 species
UAAAUGGACCUACCUCAACCUUUGGAGUUCUCAUGGUUUCAAUAGCCAUCAUCUCCUUUUUCUUCCUUUACUUCUUAUAAAAAAUUAUACAAAAUAAUCUCAACUAUCCAUCAUCAAUCAAUCUUGAUCGUUUCUUUUCCUACUAUAUAUUUGUUCUUUUCUUUCUCUAAACCUUAGCGUCCCUUGUUUUUCUCCUUCCUCAUUUAUGUCACUACCGUUUUCUUUCUUCUCAAUGAUCUUCCUCUUCAUCAUCUCCUUUUCUUCUUUUUUGACUACCCUUGCUUUUCUCUCUUCUUGGCACGUCAACACAUUCAAAAACUUGCAACGACCAUGAUUCAUUCCUCCAGAAAUGAAGAUAAAAGUCCCCACAUUGAUGCUGUUAUGAAGCUGUCGAUGGUGGAAGCCAAGGUUGAAUCCAUUACAGAUGAAGCCACGAUGUUAUGAUGGCGAUGAAGUUGUUGACGCUAUGAUGGAGACAAAGCUGAUGGUCAUUGAUCCUUCAAGUCCUCGCGCUCCACUUUUCUUGGGCCAUUGAAGCAUGAUCUUCUUGGAUCUUCACUUUAGAAAGCAAGCUCAUGAAUAAAUCACUUGUUUUUUAGUUUAUGUUUGAAUCCUGUUUGAUAAAAUUGCUCAAAGGAAGCAUAAAUAUAUUUAUAUUUCUAAUUGAAUUUUGGAUUUGAUUUGUAUCCAGUGUUCAUUAAUUCAUAUAAAUGUGGGC